rnacentral:rRNA from 1 species
UUGACGGGGCCCGCACAAGCGGUGGAGUAUGUGGUUUAAUUCGAUGCAACGCGAAGAACCUUACCUGGUCUUGACAUCCCGGAGACCCUUAGGAAACUAGGGGGUGCUUCCAUCUGGAAGAAUCUGGAGACAGGUGCUGCAUGGCUGUCGUCAGCUCGUGUCGUGAGAUGUUGGGUUAAGUCCCGCAACGAGCGCAACCCUUGCCUUUAGUUGCCAGCAGUUCGGCUGGGCACUCUAAAGGGACUGCCGGUGUUAAACCGGAGGAAGGUGGGGAUGACGUCAAGUCCUCAUGGCCUUUAUGACCAGGGCUACACACGUACUACAAUGGCCGAUACAAAGGGCAGCGACACUGCGAGGUGAAGCCAAUCCCGUAAAAUCGGUCUCAGUCCGGAUUGGAGUCUGCAACUCGACUCCAUGAAGUUGGAAUCGCUGGUAAUCGUGGAUCAGCAUGCCACGGUGAAUACGUUCCCGGGCCUU